GGGCGAUUGGCACAGUUGGUAGCGCGCCACAUUGACGUUGUGGAGGUCAUGUGUUCGAGUCACAUAUCGCCCACCA
rnacentral:tRNA from 3 species